CUUAAAAUGAAUUGACGGGGCCCGCGACAAGCGGUGGAGCAUGUGGUUAAUUCGACGCAACGCGAAGAACCUUACCAGGGCUUGACAUCCCCUGACCGCGUAUGAAAGUACGUUUUCACCUCGGGUGACAGGGAGACAGGUGGUGCAUGGUUGUCGUCAGCUCGUGUCGUGAGAUGUUGGGUUAAGUCCCGCAACGAGCGCAACCCCUACGUUUAGUUGCUAACGCGUGAAGGCGAGCACUCUAGACGAACUGCCGUUGACAAAACGGAGGAAGGUGGGAUGACGUCAAAUCAUCAUGCCCCUUAUGUUCUGGGCUACACACGUGCUACAAUGGCCGGUACAGACGGACGCAAAGCCGCGAGGUGGAGCAAAUCCUAAAAAGCCGGUCUCAGUUCGGAUUGCAGGCUGCAAUUCGCCUGCAUGAAGUCGGAAUCGCUAGUAAUCGCAGGUCAGCAUACUCGCGGUCGAAUACGUUCCCGGGCCUU
rnacentral:rRNA from 1 species